rnacentral:rRNA from 1 species
GAUGAACGCUGGCGGCGUGCCUAAUACAUGCAAGUCGAGCGAACAGAUAAGGAGCUUGCUCCUUUGACGUUAGCGGCGGACGGGUGAGUAACACGUGGAUAACCUACCUAUAAGACUGGGAUAACUUCGGGAAACCGGAGCUAAUACCGGAUAACAUAUUGAACCGCAUGGUUCAAUAGUGAAAGGCGGCUUUGCUGUCACUUAUAGAUGGAUCCGCGCCGUAUUAGCUAGUUGGUAAGGUAACGGCUUACCAAGGCAACGAUACGUAGCCGACCUGAGAGGGUGAUCGGCCACACUGGAACUGAGACACGGUCCAGACUCCUACGGGAGGCAGCAGUAGGGAAUCUUCCGCAAUGGGCGAAAGCCUGACGGAGCAACGCCGCGUGAGUGAUGAAGGUCUUCGGAUCGUAAAACUCUGUUAUCAGGGAAGAACAAAUGUGUAAGUAACUGUGCACAUCUUGACGGUACCUGAUCAGAAAGCCACGGCUAACUACGUGCCAGCAGCCGCGGUAAUACGUAGGUGGCAAGCGUUAUCCGGAAUUAUUGGGCGUAAAGCGCGCGUAGGCGGUUUUUUAAGUCUGAUGUGAAAGCCCACGGCUCAACCGUGGAGGGUCAUUGGAAACUGGAAAACUUGAGUGCAGAAGAGGAAAGUGGAAUUCCAUGUGUAGCGGUGAAAUGCGCAGAGAUAUGGAGGAACACCAGUGGCGAAGGCGACUUUCUGGUCUGUAACUGACGCUGAUGUGCGAAAGCGUGGGGAUCAAACAGGAUUAGAUACCCUGGUAGUCCACGCCGUAAACGAUGAGUGCUAAGUGUUAGGGGGUUUCCGCCCCUUAGUGCUGCAGCUAACGCAUUAAGCACUCCGCCUGGGGAGUACGACCGCAAGGUUGAAACUCAAAGGAAUUGACGGGGACCCGCACAAGCGGUGGAGCAUGUGGUUUAAUUCGAAGCAACGCGAAGAACCUUACCAAAUCUUGACAUCCUUUGACCGCUCUAGAGAUAGAGUCUUCCCCUUCGGGGGACAAAGUGACAGGUGGUGCAUGGUUGUCGUCAGCUCGUGUCGUGAGAUGUUGGGUUAAGUCCCGCAACGAGCGCAACCCUUAAGCUUAGUUGCCAUCAUUAAGUUGGGCACUCUAAGUUGACUGCCGGUGACAAACCGGAGGAAGGUGGGGGAUGACGUCAAAUCAUCAUGCCCCUUAUGAUUUGGGCUACACACGUGCUACAAUGGACAAUACAAAGGGCAGCUAAACCGCGAGGUCAAGCAAAUCCCAUAAAGUUGUUCUCAGUUCGGAUUGUAGUCUGCAACUCGACUACAUGAAGCUGGAAUCGCUAGUAAUCGUAGAUCAGCAUGCUACGGUGAAUACGUUCCCGGGUCUUGUACACACCGCCCGUCACACCACGAGAGUUUGUAACACCCGAAGCCGGUGGAGUAACCAUUUAUGGAGCUAGCCGU